UCCUGGCGACUAUAGCGAUUUGGAACCACCUGAUACCAUCUCGAACUCAGAAGUGAAACAUUUCCGCGCCAAUGAUAGUGUGAGGCUUCCUCAUGCGAAAGUAGGUCAUCGCCAGGGUUUUAUU
rnacentral:rRNA from 1 species